ACAGUCUGAGUCUCUUCCAUGCGUUGCACUGUACAGGUAUCAAGCAUAGGAGCCAUUUAAAUGUGGAAGAUUUAAAGCUAUCAUGAACAGAUCAUCAUCCUUGUCCAGUUUAGGAGGAACAAUCCAUUUCUGCCUUUUGUACCUUAGCAUCUUAAAGGCUUCCAAAUAAUCAUCCAAAUCUUCUUUCAGACAGAAAAAGCUGUCAAUCCACAGUAGACCCCCUGGCCUCAAAACUCUA
rnacentral:misc_RNA from 1 species